GCUUCUGUGACGGAGUAAACACAGUUGACGUUUCGGGUCCGGUGAUCCUGACUUAGAACUGGGCCAUGCCCUUGUCCUCUGAUCGGUUGGAGGAGAAGCAUUUCCGCUGCCUUUUCUGUCCCGCCUCUUGCUUGCUAUUGGUCGUUCGAUAUCAAACCGGCGUAUUCAGCUAUGGAGCAUGCGCACAGCUCAUUGUGACUGUGAGCAUACGCACUGGGAAAGGAUCUCCGGAAUCAAAUGGUCCUCCAUGAGAGCCACAAGCGAACAUUCAACAACUUGAAAACUGGAUUGAAAAUGAGAGACAGAGCAGCCACUGCAGAAGCUUCCAAAAUCACUCUGCACCUUCUUGAACUGCUGCAAUCUGCGAAGUGAAGUAGCUCCCAUGUUGCAAUUUGGUUGAUGAUAUCCUUCGAAGAACAGGAGAUCUGAAGUGGACACAUUACUCCAGAAGAGGCCUCACUGAUGUUCUGCACAAUUUCAACAUAACGUCCCACCUCCUAUACUCUAACGGCCUGAGCAGUGAAGGCAAGCAGGCUAAACUCCGACCUAACCACCCUUUCUACAUGUGAUGCCAACCUCACAGAAUUAAGGGCCUGAACCUUGAGGUCUCUCUUUUCGACAACACUAACCCCAAGGCCCUACAUUUAAUUGUACAAAUACUGAUCUUGUUUGUUUUACCAAAAUGAAAUACCUCGCCUUUAUCCAAAUUAAACACCACCUGCCAUUCCUCAGCCUCUUAACCCAAUAAAUCAAGAUCUCUUUGUAAUCUUGGACAUCCUCACAUCCUUCUUAAAUCUGCCCCCUCUCACUUUAAAUCUGUACACUCUUUUCCAUUCCCCAUCCCUGGGAAAAAGACGCCGUGCAUUCUUCCUGUCUAAGCCCCUCAUGAUUUUAUCCACCUCAGUAAGGUCACCGCUCAUUCUCCUACAUCCCAAGGAAUAAAGCCCAAUUCUGGACAACCUCUCCUCAGAACUCAGGCCUACUAUUCCUACCAACAUCCUUGUAACUCUUCUUUGCACGUUUUCCAGUUUAACUGUGCCUUUCCUGUAACAGGGUGACCAAAACCGUACACCACACUGUGAGUGUGGCCUCACCAAUGACUUGUACAUCUUUAACAUAACGUCCCAAAACUUAAAUGCAAUGCAUCAACCGAAGAAGGCCAGCAUGCUAAAUGCUUUCUUCACCACCCUGCCUACCUGUGAUGCUGCUUUCCACCAACUAUGCGCUUGUGCUUCUUGGUCUCUCUGCUCCACAAUAUUCCUCAGAACCUUACCAUUCACUGUAUAACUCCUACCUUGGCUGAACUUUCCAAAGGCCAACACCUCACGCUUAGCUGUAUUGAAUUUAAUUUGGCAAUCCUCAGCCUGAUCACAAUCCCCCUGUAAUUUUUGAUACCUCAGCGAUACCUCUUAAGUUUGCAGAUGAUACAAAAUUACUAAUCGUGCCAUAUACAUUCACAUCCAGAUUAUUUAUGUAAGGGACAAAUAACAAAGAUCCCAGUAUCGACGCCCGUGGCACACCAUUAGCCACAGGCCUCCAGUCUGAGAACCAACAUUCAGCCAUCACGCUAUGCUUCCUACCGUCGACCCAAUUUCGAAUCCCAUGAGCUAGCUGUCCUGGAUCCCACACAACCGAACCUUCAUGACCAGGCUGCUGUAUGGGACCUUGUUAAAGGCCUUACUAAAGUCCAUAUAGACAGCAUUCGCUGCCCUAAUCUCAUCAAUUCUCUUGCUUCCCUCCUCAAAAAACUUGAAUAGAUUGUCAGACUUGAUUCCUGUGCACAAAAUCAUGCUGACAAUCCCUCAUCGUAUCUUGAAUAUCCCAGCUUUGGUUGAUCGACUCCCUAAAUAUCAUCUUCAAUACCUUGUCUACCACUAGUUCACUGGCCUGUAGUUCCCUGGCUGGUCUUUGCUACCUUUCUUAACCAAUGGGACAACAUUAGCCACCCUCCAGUCUUCUGGAAUUUCAGUAGUGAGAAAAGAUGAAGGGAAAAAUCUCUGCAAGGGCCUCUGCAGUUUCUUCCCCUGCCUCCCACAGUGUCCAAAGAUGGACUUCAUCAGGUCCAGUGGAAUUAACAACCUUAAUGUGCUUUAAGGCUGCAAACGCCACCUUGAUGGUCCGAAACAUCCCCACUUGCUUCCCUUGUUUCCUUAGCAUCCAUGAUUCUCUGCUUAGUAAACACUGAGGAGAAAUACUCAUUAAAAAUCUCCCCCAUCUCCGUGAGCUGUUUUCAAACCAAAAUAUUUCUACCCCUGACUUGUCCCCCCUCCAUUUCUUUCUCAACAGUAAAACUUGAUGCAAUAUAUUCCUUUCAAAUCUCUCUCCUCUCCAGAUGCUCAACACAGAGUUGAUCUCUUUCAUCUUUAUGGAGCCCUGCUUGCUCUCUCGGUGCUCUCUUGCUCUUAAUGCACUUGCAGAAACUCUUGGAAUUAUUCUUAAGCUUAUCAACCAAGGCAGUUUCAUGUUGCCUUUUUGCCAUCCUGAUCUCCUGUUUAAGAAUGCCCCUAACACUGUUUACACUUUCAAGAGAUUUAUUUGAGCCGAGCUUUUAUUUAUAUCUACUAAUUUAUAUUUUUUUUAUUCUUGACUAAAACCUGAGUAUCUUUUUUCACCCAUUGUUCUCUAAUCGUACCAGCCUUACCUUUCACUCUUACGGGGACAUAAUGGCUCUGAAUUGUCACAUUUUUGAAAGCCCCCCCACACUUAUCAGACAUCCUUAUACCUGCCGUCUACUCAUGUCAAUGUUUGAAAGUUAUAAAAACAGAAGCUGCUGGAAAAGCUUAGCAGGUCUGGCAGCAUCUGUGAAGGACAAAUCAGAGUUAAUGUUGUGGGUCUGUUAAUCCUUCCUCAGAAGUGUUGAAAGUCCUUUUCUUACAGCAUUAAAAUUUGCCUUACUCCAGUUAAAGCUUUUUCUUUUUCUGGAAGGCAUAUUCUGUUCCAUAAUUGUGUUAAAACUGAUCGUAAUUCUGUCACAAGACUCAGAGUUUCCCUGUACUGUCACUUCAGUCACUUGCUACGCCUUAUUUUUUUUUCCAUAGGAACAUCGAUUUAUUGAUAAAGAAAAAUUUCUUGAACACAUUUCAGAAAAUACUCCCCAUCUAAACCUUUAACACUAUGGCAGUCCCAGUAAAUGUUUGGAAACUGAAAAUCACCGAUUAUAACCUUGUUAUUCUUACACAUAUCUGAGAUCCCUCUGCAUAUUUGUUCCUCAGUUUCCCUCUGACUAUUAGGAAGCCUGUGGUACAAUCCCAUCUGAUGAUUGUUCCUUUCUUGUUUCUUAUUUCUAAUUUCAGCAUAUGUUUUCAUGGGAUGAUUUUUCAGAAACAUCUCUUCUAGUGAUAGCAGCAAUGUUUUCCUUAUUUAAAAAAAUUCCUGCAAUUGGCCCAUAUUCGCUCCAAACCAUUCAAAUUCAUGUCCUUAUCUGAAUGUUUUUCAAACAUCGUAACCACCCACAUCCUUUACUUCCUCUGGCAGUUCAUUCCACACACUGGGCACUCGAUAUAAAACAAAAAGAUGCCCGUCAUGUCUUUUUUAAAAUCUUUCUCCUCUCAUUUUAAAAAUAUGCCCCUGGUUUUGAAAUCCCCCACCUCAGGGAUAAAACCUUUGCUAUUCCUUAUCUGUGUCUCUCAUUAUUUUAUUAACCUACAUAAGGUCAUCCCUCAACCUCUUACCUUCCCGUGAAAGAAGUUCCCACCAAUCCAGCGUAUUUUUAUAACUCAACGCCUCCAUUCCCGGCAAUAUCCUGGUAAGUGUUUUUCCAAUCCCACUCCAGUUUAACAAUAUUCUUCCCAGAACAGGACAACCAGAGCAGCACACAGUCCUCCGGAAGAGGACUCUCCAUCAUCACUUCCCAGCUCCUGUACUCAGGCCUGAGCAAUGAAGAUAAGUGUGCUAAAUGCCUUCCUAACUACCGUGUCUACCUGUGAUGCAAAUUUCAAAGAAUUAUGUGCCUGAAACCCUCGGUUUUUUCUGAUCUGCAACACUACCCAGAGCCCAACCAUUAAUUGUGUAAGUCCUGCCUUUUGAAGUAUUGCGUUGUGGUAAAACAAACAUUUAUCCAAAUAAAAUUCAAUCUGCCAUUCCUCAGCCCAUUGCCCCAAUUGAUCAAGAUCUCUCUGAAAUCCAGAAAGCUACGAGGCCAUCUCCCUUACUUUGACAACAAAUAAUAAUCAGUGAAAUGAUGUUCUGCUUCAUUUGUACAAGGAAGGGGUCAGACCAAAUCUCGAAUACCAUAUGCAGGUUUUGGUCUUCUGUUCUUUUAUUCAAAGUGGCUCAGAGGAGGUUUACAAGAUUGAAACCUGGAAUCAGUGGGUUGUCUGAGGAAGAUGGAUUGGGCAGGAAAGAGGGAAAAGGGUUUGUCAGGAGCUGCUGAUUAAAACAGGAAGCUGACGUGAGCCAGGAUAUAGGGUGUAUUGUAUUUUAUAAGGUGAAUUUAUUCAAACUUGUGCCGCAUACAUGCGGAAGAGGUCUAUAAGCCUAGCUCGGAGACACUCUUCCAUUUCCAGCUACUCGGAAACGGCAUAUUAAGGCAUUUUCACGUCAGAAUGGUUGCAUGUAACAUUGAUAUAAAAUAAAUUUCAAUGUCAGUUGCUUACUACAAAACAGGAUGCUGUUCAGUUUCUGUCAAAGUUCUGAGUCCUCGAAUUUCAACAGGACUGCCACUUCCAUACUAUCUUCAGAGCUUCUCUACCCCACCGUCAGCUCACAGCUGGGUGAGUAAUACUUCCAUGACUAUCAGAAGCUGUACAGAUAGUUUCAGAGCCCGAAGUAACUGUUGAUGUUUCGCUGUUAUGGACCUGCAGUUAAACUGUCUGAGAGAUGUUAAUGUGAAAUAAUCUCAUUCAUUUACAUACUUCUAUAAAUUAAAGUCUUUUGUCUUCAUUUGAUUCCUACGCAGAGGCUUUAAUUUAUAGAAGUAAACUCUUAUCUACUGACACAUCGGUAUGCAGACACUGCCCUGAAGCUUCCUGCCCAGCUAGGAAUUCAGUGUAAUGCUUUUGUAACUCCUUAUCUUCUCACACAUCGGUAUGCAGACACGGUCUUAAGCUUCCUGACUAAAUUAAAACUAGAAUCAAACUGUUUCAAAUAGGGUUCGGUGGGGAAAUUUUGUAAAGGUGUGAAACCUCUGAAGCAUGUAACUUCUGUCACUGGCAAAGGGGCCAGGGCACUGAUUUGGUUCUAGCCAGACAAACUGGCCACUUGAAAUCUCAAUCUGUCCCAGUCAACAACUCGAAAUUGCCUCCUGCCAUUAGCAGCCACUUCACUAGCAAUCUAUACUGUAUCCUGGUCUUUUAUGUUGUUGAUGUAAUAAUUGUUUGGUAUCCUGAUUUUGUCUGUUGUCGUAAUCGUUUUCUGUAUCAUGUCAUUGUAAGUUGUGAAAUCGUUUUAUGUAUCAUGUCUUUUGUAAGUAUAAAAAGCGGGGACUGUCCGCUGGUCGGGGAAAAUUACUUGCGAGACUCCGCACUCUGAGUACAGUGAUUCUCCACAGCUUGUGCUUGCUUGGUAAUAAAGGGAUUUGUGUUUUUUAAA